rnacentral:rRNA from 1 species
GACGAACGCUGGCGGCGUGCUUAACACAUGCAAGUCGAACGGGCUGCCUGGUUUUCGGAUCGGGUGGUGAGUGGCGAACGGGUGAGUAACACGUGAGUAACCUGCCCCUCUCUUUGGGAUAACGUCGGGAAAUCGGCGCUAAUACCGGGUAUUCUGGCUUCCUCGCAUGGGGUGGUUGGGAAAGGUUUUUUCUGGUGGGGGAUGGGCUCGCGGCCUAUCAGCUUGUUGGUGGGGUGAUGGCCUACCAAGGCGGUGACGGGUAGCCGGCCUGAGAGGGUGUCCGGCCACACUGGGACUGAGACACGACCCAGACUCCUACGGGAGGCAGCAGUGGGGAAUAUUGCACAAUGGGCGGAAGCCUGAUGCAGCGACGCCGCGUGGGGGAUGACGGCCUUCGGGUUGUAAACCUCUUUCAGUGCAGAACAAGGCUCUUUGUGGGUUGAGGGUAUGCGCAGAAGAAGCGCCGGCUAACUACGUG